UGAAGAGUGGGGAUAGAUACUUUUUAGGUUCAGGGACCCAUCUCAAGAAGCUCUUCUCUGGAGUUCCCCACAGAAAUCAGGGAGAAGAAUUGAAGGUAAUACUGCUGCACCAUCCAGCCUGUGAAGCACGCUCUGCAAUUGCUGCUCUGAAGUAAAGACUAAAGAAACAUUUUUGAGAGUAUGAAGCAGGACUAUUGCCUUAGGCUGACCCAGGAGCUGUUGGACAUGGGAUGAGAGCAAUCACUCCAACAGGACCAGCUGUAUGGUAACUGACUAAUAACUGCAGUACUCUUAGUUCUUAACAGGAACAGAAUAUAUCUUCCCUUGUUAUUGUUAGUGCAAUGGAGGCCCUGGAUACAGCGUGCUGCUGCAGGCAGUUAUUAAAAAAAGAAAGUCUGAGAAGCAAUGGAUAUGUUAUCUCCUCAAGAAGCAGGGGCAUCUCUGCUUGCCUCUCCCAUCCUGGGGUCUGACCUUCCUUCCUCAGGCCUGUCUUUAAUAUCACUUACUGAGAGUUAGAAAGUGCAGCACUGCUGAGAAAGGUCUGGACUGUGCAACCUGCCUCUCAUCAAGGAUGGCUGCUGAAGCCUCCAAAGGACCCUGACUUCCUCUCUUAUCUUUUGAAAAAGAUUAUGUGAAGAGGAGGUGGUGACUGUGUGUAUGUGUUCAGGGAGGGGAGAGGGAGAAGAGUGCAGAAACAUUUCCAAGAAAACAUUUCAGUAAUUCUCUCUGUUAGUAUGGUGCGUCCUUCCACUGGCUGACUGGUUAGCUGGGAAGAUCGCUGCACACACCGAAAGACACAAUUUCCAAUGUAAUUCUCACAACCUCUCUAGGAUAUCACAGGCAACUUUCUGUUUCUUUUUCAUUGUCUUGACAUUUAGGGAGAUUUCCACAAUGCUAGUUUGUCCUAGAUGAUUCAAAGUUAAAGUUAAGAAAAAGGUUAAACCAAAGGAAAUUCUGCAUACUGGAGUUAUUCCAGUAACUAUAACUGUGCAGUCUUUGAUCUCCUACAUAUUUCAGGGUUUGCCUCACCACCAGAAAGUUAUCUUUAUGUUCAGAUUUAGGCAGGGAUAAGUAAAUUAAAGAAAUACAUCUCUGAAUUCUACUGUUAAGAUGAUCAGAGGUUCUAUCUGUCAAAAAGAGCAGGUGAGGCAUUUGGCCUCACAAGAUAGGAACUUUUAAGUAAGAUAUAGCACAAGAUAUGAACUUUUAAGUAAGGGAAUAGUAACACAAGGAAUUCUCAUGGUCCUUUUUAUUACUAGAUCUGCAAGAUUCAUCGUACAAGCAUAUUUUUCUUUGGAUAUCCCUUGCAUGAUGGGAGGCCAGUGUUUCCUAGUGGACAGAAUAUUGUUGGGUAGUCCGUGAAAGGUAGAAACUUUUAUUGAUAGCAUUGCUUUGUUUGUAACCUUCUGCAAGCAGUUCUGGUUUCCUAUUCCUAAAUAGGGGGAGAAGCUUUUAGUCUGAUUUUAAAAAGCCCUUUGAAACUUAAUAUGAGGUAAGGGUUUUGCUUUUUUUUUGCUUUUUUUUGAAAAAAAAUAAGGCAGAAAACCACUUUGUCCUCAAUUUUUGCCCUCUUUUUUUGAGAAUGCCAACAACUGACACCAACUGUGACAGUGGCUUUUGAAGUGAGAAGCUUUGUGCCUGUCAUAUCAGCUGAGAUACCAUGCACACUUAAUAAGCUUUGGACUCCUGAGUAGCCCAAUGAAGCCAAGUGCAAUGUUGCUGUUAUGGUAAAGCUAAGAUCUUUGCUCACUCAUGUUUUUUUUUUAAGUAGGACUGGAAAAACUGUGUGAAGAGCCUUUUCAUCUUUUGUCUCCUUUUUCUGUCUCAGGCCAAGUCAGAGUCAGACCUUGAUGAAAGCCCAGACACUUUCAAAAAAGCAAUUGUUUAAUUCUGUGUGUAUUUUAGUGUAAAGGUUAUAGUACAUGCAAUUAAUAUGACUCAGACUCAGGGUCAAAAGUCUGGGUUGACUAUGACUGGACUUCUAAUUUCCUUCAUUCUAAGUCACCCAUCCUUUCUCUGAGUCAUUCUUCAGCAGACAGCUUUAAGUUUAAAAUUAGAAAAUAGAAACAUAUACCAAGAUGAAUAGCUGGUGAGAAUGCUGCAGGAACAGCUUAAGUUUCAUGAGCUGAUGUAGUAGCAGCUAUCUCAAAGGGGCUCCAUUCUAAUGUUUGUAACUGGUGCACUUCAAGUUAAGAUAUUCAUAAAUAAUUCAGGCUGUAGAACAUCUGCAAACAUAAAUGGCAUGAAUGCAUCACAAGCUGCUAAACUUGCCUACUGUUGCCAUCAAAAAAUCCUUUUGUGCAACUUGCUACAGAUGUCCUUUGUAGAGAGCCUUCCACAGCACACCCUGGCCAUGCAAGGCCCUGGGAGGAUGCGCAAGGUCUACCAAGCAACAGCAGUGGCAUUUGUUAUGCUUACAGGCCUUUUCAGAGAGUACAGGUCUCUUGGUAGAGGUCUUUAGCACACACCAGCAGUCAAGUUUGCAAAUAAGGCUCAACAGAUGCAUUUGAAGGGAAAGCCGAAGACAUAAAGCAUACAGAAGUGGUAGAAUAAGUCACUGUCCUGACUCUCUCUAGUCCUUAUUGUGGUAUGCUGAACGUCUUUCAAAGACAGGUCUGAGAAUAUGUCUAUCAAAACCUAGAUAAUUUAUCAGAUUAGUGAGCUACAUACUCUUGAUUAUUUAAAAUCGAUUAAGUUAAAAUACUGGUGCUCAGAAGGCAGGGCUGAAUAAAGCUGGGAUGACUGUUUACCUGAGUAAAUAGAGCACACAGUCUAUCAUCAAUGUAUUUAGAAGGAGGUGAGAGAGUCUAUUUUGAUUGCAUAGAUUUCUCCCUUGUGUAAUUCCCUUUGCACUCCAGUCUGGUAUCCACAUCCUACACUCUUUCAAUGGCCAUAAAAUCACGUUUUUCAACAUUACUUACUCUAUUGUAGUGUAUGAAAGACUAUGUAAUGGAAAGGGACAAACAGAUAGAAUUAUAACACAAAAAGGAAUAAGAUUGUCCACUGAAGUUAACAUGGACUCUCAGUCUAUGUCUUCCACAAUUCUUGUUGACUAGCUCUUCAGUUUUAAUCGAAAUUUUUAACUAAGACAAAUUUGAAUAUGAGUUCAUAAAAAUGUCUAGCAGUGACAUUCUUGGAAUUCACUUUACCAUCCAAAAAAUAUAGCAAAAUUCUUGCCAGAAGAAGAGAGACUCCUCUACCUGAAAGAUGUGUAUCAUUAAUUCAUUAAAAACAAAAAAGAAAUAAAACCACUUGAAAUAUUUAUUAAGUAUUUAAGCUCUUAGCAUUUAAAAUAAAACAUAUAUCCUCUUGUUAUGGUAUGAGCUAAAGCAGAAUUAGUUUUCUGACCUCAGCUAAGUCUUGUCUAAGUAACUUAAUUUUCUGAAAGUUAACUGAAUUUUUUUUGAAAGUGUUCUCUCUAGAAGUGAUAACAUGAGGUAUUGGUAUGCAGAGAUGCCAUUGCUUGUACUUAUUCAUAUAAUAACCAAGGCCAUCCUCAAGCUGGAGAAAAAAAAGUCACACCUGCAGGGAAGGAUGGACAGGACAGGUGACCGAAAAUUGGCCAACAGAACGUUCCAUACCGUAUAUGUCAUACUUAGUAUAAAACGGAGACAUCAUGAGGGUCUCACUCUCUUCUGUGAUGG